rnacentral:pre_miRNA from 1 species
AAAAUUUAAAUUUGUAUGGAGUUGUAACGUUGGCCGCUAGAGGCGUUGUUUUAACAGCAUACAAAUUUGAGUUA